rnacentral:rRNA from 1 species
GAUGAACGCUGGCGGCGUGCUUAACACAUGCAAGUCGAACGAUGAAGCCCAGCUUGCUGGGUGGAUUCGUGGCGAACGGGUGAGUAACACGUGAGCAACCUGCCCCUGACUCUGGGAUAAGCGAUGGAAACGGCGUCUAAUAAUGGAUAUGUCCCAUCACCGCCUGGUGGGCGGGUGGAAAGAAUGUGCGGUUGGGGAUGGUCUGGCGGCCUAUCAGCUUGUUGGUGAGGUAAGGGCAGACCAAGGCGUAGCAGGGUAGCCGGCAUGAGGGGGGGAACGGCCACACUGGGACUGAGACAGGGCCCAGACUCCAACGGGAGGCAGCAGUGGGGAAUAUUGCACAACGGGCGGAAGCGUGAUGCAGCAACGCCGCGUGAGUGAUGACGUCCUUCGAGUUGUAAACCACUUUUAGCAGGGAAGAAGCGAAAGUGACGGUACCUGCAGAAAAAGCACCGGCUAACUACGUG